ensembl:snRNA U4 U4 spliceosomal RNA
AGCUUUGCACAGUGGCAGUAUCAUAACCAGUGAGGUUUACAAGGUAUGAUUAUUGCUAAUUGAAAAAAAAAAAAGAUAGAC